GAUGAACGCUGGCGACGUGCCUAAUACAUGCAAGUCGAGCGAACGGACGAGAAGCUUGCUUCUCUGAUGUUAGCGGCGGACGGGUGAGUAACACGUGGAUAACCUACCUAUAAGACUGGGAUAACUUCGGGAAACCGGAGCUAAUACCGGAUAAUAUUUUGAACCGCAUGGUUCAAAAGUGAAAGACGGUCUUGCUGUCACUUAUAGAUGGAUCCGCGCUGCAUUAGCUAGUUGGUAAGGUAACGGCUUACCAAGGCAACGAUGCAUAGCCGACCUGAGAGGGUGAUCGGCCACACUGGAACUGAGACACGGUCCAGACUCCUACGGGAGGCAGCAGUAGGGAAUCUUCCGCAAUGGGCGAAAGCCUGACGGAGCAACGCCGCGUGAGUGAUGAAGGUCUUCGGAUCGUAAAACUCUGUUAUUAGGGAAGAACAUGUGUGUAAGUAACUGUGCACAUCUUGACGGUACCUAAUCAGAAAGCCACGGCUAACUACGUG
rnacentral:rRNA from 1 species